rnacentral:lncRNA from 1 species
UCUUUUUGGGGGUAUGCCUUAGAGACUGCCGCCCAUAUCCUUAACCGAGUCCCUACUAAGAAGGUUGCCAAAACACCUCACGAGAUGUGGACAGGGAAAGCUCCCUCGUUGGCACAUAUCAAGGUUUGGGGUUGCGAGGCUUUCGUAAGACGAGAUACUCACGACAAGCUUGAACCUCGAAGUGAGCGAUGUAUUUUCAUCGGCUACCCGCAGACAUCCUUUGGAUAUCUCUUCUAUAGACCGAAGGACAAUGUUGUCUUCGUUGCGAGGAGAGGAGUUUUCCGAGAGCGAGAACUCAUAAGCCAAGGAGACAGUGGGAGGCAAAUCGAACUUGAAGAGAUUCAAGAGUCGAUAGAUGAAGGAACCUCUACCGCUGGCACUCAACCCGAGGAGGAAACUCCGGUUGAACCGAUUGACGAAUCCUUACCUCUUAGACGUUCCGAUAGAGUUAGAGUUCAUCCCCAGUUUUAUGGUUUUCAUAUUACUACCGAAGGGGACACGUAUAUUAGUGAUGGUACACUAGUAAAUCUUGAUGAACCUAAUAGCUAUAAGGAAGCCAUGGCAGGCCCGGAGUCUGCAAAAUGGAAAGAGGCAAUGGAUAGCGAGAUCCAAUCCAUGUAUGAUAACCAAGUUUGGAAUUUGGUUGAUUAUGUGCCCGGACGUAAGACCGUUGGGUGCAAAUGGAUCUUCAAGAAGAAGACCGACGUGGAUGGAAACGUACACACAUAUAAAGCGCGAUUGGUUGCGAAGGGCUUUACUCAAACUCCCGGAGUUGACUAUGAUGAGACCUUCUCACCAGUUGCGAAGAUUAAAUCUAUUAGAGUGAUGCUAGCUAUUGCCGCAUUUCAUGAUUAUGAGAUUUGGCAAAUGGAUGUCAAGACCGCUUUCCUUAACGGAAAGUUGGCUGAGGAUGUUUACAUGGCUCAGCCAGAGGGGUUUGUGGAUCCGAAGCAUCCGAAUAGAGUGUGUAAGCUUGAGAAGUCCAUUUAUGGACUUAAGCAAGCGUCUCGCAGAUGGAAUCUUUGCUUCGAUGAGAAAGUCAAAGAGUUUGGAUUUGUACGAAGCGAAGACGAAUCUUGUGUAUAUGUCAAAGCCAGUGGGAGUAUAGUAAGCUUCCUCGUUCUAUAUGUCGAUGACAUAUUACUCAUAGGAAACGACAUCCCGACUCUGCAGGAGGUUAAGUCCUGGCUCGGGAAGUGCUUCGCUAUGAAGGACCUCGGAGAGGCUUCUUACAUUUUGGGAAUAAGGAUAGUAAGAGAAAGAAGUAAGAGACUAAUUGGACUUAGUCAGAAUACUUACUUAGAGAAGGUACUAAAACGUUUUAGUAUGGAAAACUCAAAGAAGGGAGAACUACCGAUACAAAGUAAUGCCAAAUUGAGUAAGACUCAAAGUCCGAGUACCGAAGCUGAGAUAGCAGAAAUGAGCCGAGUACCAUACGCUUCCGCAGUUGGCUCAAUCAUGUACGCUAUGACUUGUACUCGCCCUGAUGUAGCCUUCGCUUUGAGCAUGGUUAGCAGAUAUCAAGGGAAUCCUGGCAAAGCACAUUGGAUUGCGGUGAAGAAUAUCCUUAAGUACCUUCGGAGGACGAAGGAAUGGUUCUUAGUCCUCGGAGGGAGUGAUGACUUGAAGGUGCGAGGGUAUAGUGACGCCAGUUUUCAGACCGACAGGGACAACUACCGUUCGCAGUCGGGCUGGGUCUUUACCCUAAAUGGAGGAGCAGUGACAUGGAAGAGUUCCAAGCAGGAAACCGUAGCUGAUUCAACGUGCGAAUCAGAGUACAUUGCAGCGAGCGAAGCGUCGAAGGAGGCAAUAUGGCUAAAGAACUUCAUCGGUGAUCUUGGAGUUGUACCUGCCAUAAAGGAGCCCAUGGAGAUUUUCUGUGAUAACGAAGGAGCGGUUGCCUUGACCAAGGAACCGAGGGAUCAUGGUAGAUCAAGACAUAUCGACAGAAAAUAUCACUUCAUUAGACAUCGUGUAGAAGAAGGACAACUCGUAGUGAAGAGGAUAUCAUCAGAAGAUAACCCAGCAGAUCCGCUUACGAAGGGACUGAGUAGGGUUAAGCACUUGCAGCAUGCUAGGAGUAUUGGGCUGAAGGAUGAUAUUAGCAUAGAUUAGAUAGUAUUAGAAACGUGUAAUAGAUAAAUGUAAUUAACAUUUGAUGAUUAAAUAAAGGAGUUUUAUUUAUGAGUAAUGUUACUAUCUUAUGUUAAUUGUUUAGCUAUUGUUUCACUUUGCAUGUUUUGACUUCCAGAAUAAUUGAGUUUAUUAGGAAUAAUCGAAUUGUUCAAAUGGUCCACAAUCGUUCAUAUGUUGGGAGUAGAUAUGAAUGAAGAUUGUCAUGAAUUGGUGUGUAGAAUGUCUAAAUGGUGUUAGACAUAGCAAAGGAUUGCUGCAACGUUCAUGAGUGCUUAUGAACUAGUUUUGAGCAUUGGAAUAAACCCGCGCUUGCUGGAAUCACCUUAUGGAAUACGAUAUAAAAGGUGAUCGCAAGACGAUAAUAUCAUAUAGUCUUAAAACCUAGAUAUAUGGUUUAUUAUUUGUUAAUUGAUUGUACAUUGAUAAUACGAAAACGCAUCAGUAACUUGGUGUUAUAAAACGUAUUGUUGUGUAUAGUUGGUUAAUGAAUAAGUAAAUGCAUAUAAGUCGAAGUUUAUCUGUAACUUUUAUCUAAGAAGGUAAAAGCGAUAUCUCGGCCGCUCGAUGAUUUGAUUUGACUUAUGUGCCGGGCCCGGUCAGAACUGAAUUGAUGUGUUCGAUUAAGUUCUAUGUCAAAUAAAUCAGAGAUCGAGAAACCUAAAUGCUUGACUAACCAUUCCAUAGGAUUGUCAGCAUGAUAUCUAACAGAGGACUGUACGUUCCCUUAUCUAAAGGACAAGAUUGAUUAGAUCAGAGUUGACAGCGUCUUUGAGAGCUACGAUUGCAAACCGAAUUGUACUUGUAUAGUUACUAGACUUAUCCAAGUGGGAGACUGUUGGAAUAGUGUCUAAGGCUGUAACUAUAUUAGGCAAGUAUUUGAUCCGGUUGUGCAUGGUCCUUUUGGGUUGCCUUCACCAUAGCAACUUGAUAGGAUGAUUUAUUAAGAGAGAGUAAAUAUUAUUAAUAUAUUAUGAGAAUAAUAUAAUGAAUAAUAUAUUUGUUAUUUGAUUAAUAUAAGUCAUAGAAUUAAUUAGAAUUAAUUUGGUGACUUAAAGAGAUUAAUUAAAUAAAGGGGUAUAAACUGUCAAUUGUUUGAUAGUUAAGCUUUAGACUGUAAAUCCAUUUGGAUAUGCUAUGGACGAAUUCUAAGAGGAUUAGGAUAGCUAAAAUCGUCCAUUAGAGUUAUCUAGGAAUGGAUUUGGAUAGCCUUAAGAGAAGAUUAUCUGAUAGGGACUUAUCUGUAAUCCUUAAGGAGUCUACAAGUAUAAAUAGACCCCAUGGCAUAGGGAAUUCGACACUUCUGAAAAAGCAAGAGAACUCUGGUCGAAUUCCUCCCCUCUCCUCUCUCCUAAAUCAUUCUUAUUGCUAUUGGUGUUUGUAAGCCAUUAGAGGAGUGACACUUGUGACUCUAGAAGCUCCAAGACCUCAAGAUCAACAAGGAACUCAAAGGUAUGAUUCUAGAUCUGUUUCAAUGUUGUUAUUUAACCUAAUUAGUCAUUAGAAGACUUGGAUUCAAUGCAUGUUUAUUAGAAAGCCUAGAUCCAAGCAUUAGGGUUUUGCAUGCGCACAUAGGAAAGUUCUUAUGGCUAAAACCCAUCAGUGGUAUCAGAGCCUAGCUUGGUUUUCUUUAAAUUGUUGCUUGAUUAACUGAAACAAACCUGCAAAAUUCGAUUUUUUGGUUUCUGAGUCAUGGACUCGGCGAGUCCCAAAGUGGACUCGGCGAGUAGGCCUGACUCGGCGAGUCCAUUUGUGCACUCGGCGAGUCCAGGCGUCAGGAAUGGCCAGAUUCGGGAUUUCUUUGUGUUUAUCUUAUCUUAACUUACCAUAAACUAAUUAGAUCAACAUUAAUUCGUUUUUCUGAUAAAUAUAACUAUUAUCUUGAUCUAGUUAAAGGUAAUUAUCAACUAAUUAAAUAUUUAAUUUCCUUAUAUGAUAAUUAAUUAAUUAUUUUAAUUAUUUUGGUAAUUAUCUUAAAAAGAAAUCUUGAAUAAAUCAAAUAUAGAUAAUUAGGAUAUUAAUUGUUAAUUGGAAUUAUUUGUUAUUUGAUCCUCCAUGUUUUAAAUGUUUAAAACCUACCCUCAUGUUUUGAAAUUUACUUUUGUGAUUAAAAGUUUUAAUUUAGACAACUUAAAUUUCAAACCCUAGAUUUUAAAAGUUUUAAAAUACAACCCUAUACUAAUAUGAUAUUACUAGAAUAAUAUAUAUAUGUAUAACUAAAUGCUAGUCUUACCGUUAGUAGGCCUCAUUCACGAAGCCGAUCUAUAAGGUGGGUAUAAGGUUGCGGCCUAUAAAAUGGCGCUUAAUGGGUGUACACUCACACCCACCGCUUGCUUGAUUGGUGGAGGGUCGUUAGCCGAACGGGUAGGAUAGGGCAACCUCAUCCUCUCAUUAAAAGUAUAAUAAGAAAUACAAAGUAACUACACAUAUUUUAAAAUUUCCCAAUCCUAGUUACUUUAGGAAAAGUGAAUUGAUGCAAUCCCAUGAAAUUACACUUUGCACCUUGCUAAGAUGUUAGUGGAGCGUGUGUGGUUUACCGGCACACUAAUUGGUUCUAAGCGAAGGUGGCAAAGGGUGAUUCAUUGUUUAUCAUAGUUCGAUGGAGCGUGUGUGGUUUACCGGCACAUCGAAUAGGUGAUCGUUACAAUGAAGGCACCAUGUGAAUUUGCAUGGUAAUUCACACCCGCUUUGUGAUCCUCGGCAUCCCAGUCACAAACAAGAGGGGCAUAUCGAGAUUUAAACAUGCCAUUGAAUAGUUUCAAUGAAUCUCAUCCGAACCUAGGAAUUCUCAAAAACACUUAGGACUAAUAGUUUAAGUUUUGUGAUGGAGAAUUAGUGAAUCGUCAUUCACUUACCUUCAAUUUAUUUGCAUGUUAGAUUACGGCAUCCCUUUUCUAGUAUGUAAAUGUUAUUGUUGGAUCCUAGCCCUAAUUUUCUUAUUGGGUGAUAAUUAGGGAUUCUUAUUCUAAUCUAUCUUUGUCCUUUUCUAAUUGUAGAUGUCGAACGCAAACAACGCUGCUGCUAGUUCUUUCACGUUGAUGAGCCUUUGCCAAAAGGUCACCUUCGAUGGAACGAACUUUAGCGAAUGGAUAAGAUACAUUCGCACCAUUGCUCGCUAUGAGGAUAAGGAGUAUGUCCUCGAUGAGAAGCUCGAGAAAAUCAACCCCGAAAUCGCUACUCCGGCCGAAAUCACCGCUUUUGAGACUCAUGAGCGAGAUGCAACGAAGGUACAUUGCAUCAUGAUUGCCACCAUGAACUCCGAAUUCCAAAAGUCCUACGAGGACAUGUACCCGUACGAGAUGCACCAAGACUUAUUGGAGAGGUACCACCAAAACGCGAGACAAGAGAGGUACGAGAUUUUCACUAACAUGAUUUCCGCGAAGAUGGGUCAUGGAGAAUCUCUUACCGUGCACUUGCAAAAGAUGCAAAGGUAUGUCGACCGCCUUCGCAAGUUAAAUGUUGACUUCGGUGAGGAUUUGGCGAUCGACAUGGUGCUUCACUCUUUGCCUCCGAUGUACAAUCAAUUUAGGAUGACCUACCACAUGAACAAAGAAGAGGUCACCCUAAGCAAGCUCCAAGGUCUCUUGAGGGUUGCUGAGAGCAACUUCAAAGACAAGUCUGUUGCACCUACUCCCAAUCCGCCCGCUGCUCCUGUCUUGGCUAUUGGACAAGGGAAGGGAAAGAAGAGGAAAGCUUCAUCGAAGAACUAUCGCAAGGUGAAAGCCCGAGAUGGUGCCUCUUCUAGUGGGACCAAAGUUGAUCCCGCUAAGCCCUGCUCUAACCCGAAGGAGGCAGAGUGCCACCACUGCCACAAGAUAGGACAUUGGAAGAGAAGCUGCCCGGAUUACCUGCAAGCAAUCAAAGAAGGAAAGAUCAAGCCAUCUUUCGCAGGUAUAUAUACAAUCAAAUCUAACGAUUCUAAUCAUGCUAUUUCUUGGGUUCUUGAUACCGGUUGUGGUUAUCACAUUUGUUCUAAUGUGCAGGGACUAAGAAGAAGUAGGGAUGUGGAGCAAGGAAGGAUCAAUCUAAUCAUGGGGAACAGAAGAUCGUCGCCUGUGACCAAGAUUGGAGUGUAUUCCUUAGUGCUUAGGAAUAGUUUAGUUUUAGAUUUGAACAAUUGUUGCUAUUCGCCAGAAAUGGCAAGAAACAUCAUUUCAUUUCAUGGUUUAUAUAGACAAGGAUUUAGAUUUUCUUUUAAUAAUGAGAAUGGUUCUAUUUUGGCUUAUCUAAAUGGUGUCUUUUACUUUGAAGCUAUACCAUGUAAUGGAAUAUAUGAAACCGUUAUGAUUGUUGAUAACUUAGGAAAUGAUGUUUUGAAUAUUGAUUCUUCCACUAGUAUGGAUAAAGCAUCCUUGUGGCAUUGUCGUCUUGGACAUGUCAACAAGAAACGCAUAGCCCAACUCCAAAAGGAUGGAGUGUUGGAGUCAUUCGACCUUAGGGAAGAUGACACAUGCGAGUCUUGUUUGCUUGGAAAGAUGACUAAGUCACCCUUCACGAGUACAUGUGAAAGGGGCGAGGGUCUAUUGGACCUAAUACAUACCGAUGUAUGUGGACCGUUUAGAUCAACCACGAAGGAUGGGAACCGCUUCUAUGUGACUUUUACCGAUGACUAUAGUAGAUAUGGGUAUAUCUACUUAAUCAAGCAAAAGUCAGACACCUUUGAAAAGUUCAAAGAGUUCAAGAAUGAAGUGGAGAAUCAAUUGGGCAGGAAAAUCAAGAUGCUUCGAUCCGAUCGAGGAGGAGAGUACCUAAGUCUUGAAUUCCACGAUUAUCUCAAGGAGUGUGGAAUAGUUUCACAAUUGACGCCUCCUAGGACACCGCAGUUGAAUGGUGUGGCAGAAAGGCGUAAUCGAACCUUAUUGGAUAUGGUUCGCUCUAUGAUGAGUCGUGCUUCACUACCAAUCUCUUUUUGGGGGUAUGCCUUAGAGACUGCCGCCCAUAUCCUUAACCGAGUCCCUACUAAGAAGGUUGCCAAAACACCUCACGAGAUGUGGACAGGGAAAGCUCCCUCGUUGGCACAUAUCAAGGUUUGGGGUUGCGAGGCUUUCGUAAGACGAGAUACUCACGACAAGCUUGAACCUCGAAGUGAGCGAUGUAUUUUCAUCGGCUACCCGCAGACAUCCUUUGGAUAUCUCUUCUAUAGACCGAAGGACAAUGUUGUCUUCGUUGCGAGGAGAGGAGUUUUCCGAGAGCGAGAACUCAUAAGCCAAGGAGACAGUGGGAGGCAAAUCGAACUUGAAGAGAUUCAAGAGUCGAUAGAUGAAGGAACCUCUACCGCUGGCACUCAACCCGAGGAGGAAACUCCGGUUGAACCGAUUGACGAAUCCUUACCUCUUAGACGUUCCGAUAGAGUUAGAGUUCAUCCCCAGUUUUAUGGCUUUCAUAUUACUACCGAAGGGGACACGUAUAUUAGUGAUGGUACACUAGUAAACCUUGAUGAACCUAAUAGCUAUAAGGAAGCCAUGGCAGGCCCGGAGUCUGCAAAAUGGAAAGAGGCAAUGGAUAGCGAGAUCCAAUCCAUGUAUGAUAACCAAGUUUGGAAUUUGGUUGAUAAUGUGCCCGGACGUAAGACCGUUGGGUGCAAAUGGAUCUUCAAGAAGAAGACCGACGUGGAUGGAAACGUACACACAUAUAAAGCGCGAUUGGUCGCGAAGGGCUUUACUCAAACUCCUGGAGUUGACUAUGAUGAGACCUUCUCACCAGUUGCUAAGAUAAAAUCAAUUAGAGUGAUGCUAGCGAUUGCCGCAUUUCAUGAUGAUGAGAUUUGGCAAAUGGAUGUCAAGACCGCUUUCCUUAACGGAAAGUUGGCUGAGGAUGUUUACAUGGCUCAGCCAAAGGGGUUUGUGGAUCCAAAGCAUCCGAAUAGAGUGUCUAAGCUUGAGAAGUCCAUUUAUGGACUUAAACAAGCGUCUCGCAGAUGGAAUCUUUGCUUCGAUGAGAAAGUCAAAGAGUUUGGAUUUGUACGAAGCGAAGAUGAAUCGUGUGUAUAUGUCAAAGCCAGUGGGAGUGUAGUAAGCUUCCUCGUUCUAUAUGUCGAUGACAUAUUGCUCAUAGGAAACGACAUCCCGACUCUGCAGGAGGUUAAGUCCUG